GACGAACGCUGGCGGCGUGCCUAAUACAUGCAAGUUGAGCGCUGAAGGUUGGUACUUGUACCCACUGGAUGAGCAGCGAACGGGUGAGUAACGCGUGGGGAAUCUGCCUUUGAGCGGGGGACAACAUUUGGAAACGAAUGCUAAUACCGCAUAAAACCUUUAAACACAAGUUUUAAGUUUGAAAGAUGCAAUUGCAUCACUCAAAGAUGAUCCCGCGUUGUAUUAGCUAGUUGGUGAGGUAAAGGCUCACCAAGGCGAUGAUACAUAGCCGACCUGAGAGGGUGAUCGGCCACAUUGGGACUGAGACACGGCCCAAACUCCUACGGGAGGCAGCAGUAGGGAAUCUUCGGCAAUGGACGAAAGGCUGACCGAGCAACGCCGCGUGAGUGAAGAAGGGUGUCGGAUCGUAAAACUCUGUUGGUAGAGAAGAACGUUGGUGAGAGUGGAAAGCUCAUCAAGUGACGGUAACUACCCAGAAAGGGACGGCUAACUACGUG
rnacentral:rRNA from 1 species